rnacentral:rRNA from 1 species
GACAGAGGGUGCAGGCGUUGUUCGGAAUUAUUGGGCGUAAAGCGCGCGUAGGCGGCUUGGUAAGUCGAAUGUGAAAUCCCGUGGCUCAACCAUGGAAGUGCAUUCGAAACUGCCUGGCUCGAGUGUCGGAGAGGGUGGUGGAAUUCCCAGUGUAGAGGUGAAAUUCGUAGAUAUUGGGAGGAACACCAGUGGCGAAGGCGACCGCCUGGACGACAACUGACGCUGAGGCGCGAGAGCGUGGGGAGCAAACAGG